rnacentral:rRNA from 1 species
GAUGAACGCUGGCGGCGUGCCUAACACAUGCAAGUCGAACGAGUCUUCGGACUAGUGGCGAACGGGUGAGUAACACGUUGGUACCUGCCCCGAAGUGGGGAUAACUGGCCGAAAGGUCAGCUAAUACCGCAUAAUACCGCAAGGUUAAAGUAGCAAUACGCUUCGGGAGGGGCCUGCGUCUGAUUAGCUAGUUGGUGGGGUAACUGCCCACCAAGGCGACGAUCAGUAGCUGGAUCGAGAGGUUGACCAGCCACACUGGGACUGAGAUACGGCCCAGACUCCUACGGGAGGCAGCAGUAAGGAAUCUUCCACAAUGGACGAAAGUCUGAUGGAGCGACGCCGCGUGCAGGAUGACGGUCUUCGGAUUGUAAACUGCUUUUAUAUGGGAAGAUUAUGACGGUACCAUAUGAAUAAGGACCGGCUAACUACGUGCCAGCCGCCGCGGUAA